rnacentral:misc_RNA from 1 species
GACUACAAGAUAUAAAUUGCUCUACGGAAAAGACAACAUGGGACUAGAAAAGCGAUUCGGACCUCGGUCAGACCAAAUCACUGGACGUCAACAUAUCAAAGGCCAGCUGACAUUUGAAGUAAAGUGGAACCAGGCAGCAGCAAAAGAUACCACAUGGAGAGAUAUCCAAAGGUCGAGAGCAGCAGAAGCACUCAAACAUGGACACUCCAUAUGGAAUGAUACUGUGUUAAUAGCAAGCGAAAUGUGAGUGAGAAGUUGCGCACGAUUCAUGGCAUAUGUGUGCCCCGCUAGACCAGAGGCAUACGCCCAAGAAGCCAUGGUCUCACCUGGGAUCAUGAUGCAGACUUUACCAAUGUGGUUCUUCUUGGUGUGUCAUGGACGGUAGAAGUGGGUACUUGCUCGUGCUUAUGAGGGUCCACACCCGCAUCUGUGGAAGGAUUGGUGUGUGGAUAUCGAUCGAUACUGUCGAGAGAUACCCACGGGGAGGUAGGAGACCGAGACAAAACCGAGGUGGUGGCCCAUAACGACGAAAGUGUAGUUAUAGAUGGAUGUUAGCAAGGGUAAACUCUUCGUCGGUGUGAGAUUAUUUUAUUUUUUUUGCAUCAUGGCUGCUGCUAGCCGGUGGGUUGGAGUGAGUCUCGACUCCGCUUCCCUUAAGUGAGGCAUAAAACUGACUACAGACCUUGUGGGAAAGACACUCCAGUCCACCAGACGUGGAUGUGGCACAGGCGGUGCAGCAGACACCUGUUUGCCGCAGUGUUAUCCACACCUUUGCAUCACCAUGGUGCAACGGAAGAAGAAGUACUUACGGGGAGAGACAAUGUUGUAAAUGUCUCUGUGGCCGUUGAGUCCAUAUCCCUUUGUCGGGCUUUCGACACUGUGCGCUGAACAGCGGCUGUUGUGUGUGUGGAGUGCAACCAUCGAUGAAAGACAUACAUGGUCGGGUCAAUUAUGAUUCUGAGUUAGUAGAAGGACAAUACUAUUGUCAUCUCACACCUGAAGGAGACAUCCAGAAGAGUGCAGACUCUCAGGCCACGGGUUAACACCGGUGCUGACGAAUGCCGAUACCUUACUGGUAAGAUAUCUAGAAAGUGCAGAUGGACUGUGACAACAUGUGGAUACUCACGGAACCCCAGUUUCUGUGGUUUAUAACCCACACAAGAUCAGGCGGUAUUGCUCAGAGACUGUGGCAGUCUCCCAAGGCUUCGUUUCUUGUGCUAUAGAUGUGUGGUUGGGGAAUUUCGCGGGUCAGGUCGAGACUGUUGAAGAAGGGAAGAAGAGGGAAAGGGAUGGCUAUAUACAGUAGGCUGUGAGACCAGUUUAUGUCACGUAUGCACAGGAUAGUAAGGUGAACCCUGUGACAAAAUCGAUCAUGGAGUGAGAGGGUGUGUCGAGGAUCUGAUUCUAUAUAAUACUGUUUGGUGAGUAUAUAGAUGAGGAAUUCCGGGAUAAUAUCCAACCAACCAACCAACCAACCAACCAACGCCUCUAUUUAUCCAUAUUAUGAAAUUAUAUACUUCUUUAACGACGUAAUAGAUGCCUUAAAGCC